UGUGAAGUGCCUGAUUAAAGGGUAAUUUUGAUAGAAUUAACCACGUGCCCCCCCGCACCUUCGCAA
rnacentral:tRNA from 1 species